AUGCCGCGUGAGUGAAGAAGGCCUUCGGGUUGUAAAGCUCUUUUGUCAGGGAAGAAACGGCGGAGGCUAAUAUCCUCUACUAAUGACGGUACCUGAAGAAUAAGCACCGGCUAACUACGUGCCAGCAGCCGCGGUAAUACGUAGGGUGCAAGCGUUAAUCGGAAUUACUGGGCGUAAAGCGUGCGCAGGCGGUUUUGUAAGUCUGAUGUGAAAUCCCCGGGCUCAACCUGGGAAUUGCAUUGGAGACUGCAAGGCUGGAGUCUGGCAGAGGGGGGUAGAAUUCCACGUGUAGCAGUGAAAUGCGUAGAGAUGUGGAGGAACACCGAUGGCGAAGGCAGCCCCCUGGGUCAAGACUGACGCUCAUGCACGAAAGCGUGGGGAGCAAACAGGAUUAGAUACCCUGGUAGUCCACGCCCUAAACGAUGUCUACUAGUUGUCGGGUUUUAAUUAACUUGGUAACGCAGCUAACGCGUGAAGUAGACCGCCUGGGGAGUACGGUCGCAAGAUUAAAACUCAAAGGAAUUGACGGGGACC
rnacentral:rRNA from 1 species